rnacentral:lncRNA from 1 species
GCACUGAUUCAGCUACCAGUGCUGUGUUCUUGAGGUUCGGUCUCUUCUGCCCCAGGGUAAGCCACUGCUCCUAUGCCAGUCAGCAGCUGGGGGAGGGGGGGCAGUAGAGUUACUGCUGAGACAAACCCUCCUAGCUUCUUGCUGCCACGAACUUUAGAUCCCAUCUCAUGACAUCUGUCUCUUAGGCCCUGUGAGUUUACUCUGAUCUGUCACCUCAUGACAUCUGCAGUGUCAAUUUUUGUUGCCUGCUGUAUAGGCCCUCCGUGGUACAUAUAUAUCUGCUGCUAUUUGUUCAUUAUAUAUGUUUGGAAGGUAAGUCCUCAUAUCAGCAGAAUCUGAUUUAUUUUUUUGGAUAUGUCCGAACCAAUAUAUUUCAGUUCAUUUUAUGUAAGAUCAAUGCAACAAAUGUGGCAGCUAAUAACAUACUUCUUGAGUAUUUAUUAUAUAUAUGAUAAAGAUUUUAUAUUUACUAAUAACUUCUUAAGUGUUUAUUCGGUGCUCAUAUUUUAUAUACAUUACUCCUUCUUCAUUUCUCUCUCAAUGAUCACUCCCCCUGACUAGCCUACUAUGACCUAGCUGUUCUAGAACAUAGAAUAUAGGCCAAUUCUACUCUUAGAUAUGUGUUCAUAAGGACUGAAAAACAUAAGCCCCCCAAAUUUAUAUGAUUCAAAUUUCUGUCAACUAACAGGAUGUCAUUCACUCCAUAAAUUCCAACACAUACUUCAGCAUGAAUAAGGCAUGCAAAUCUUAUGUAAAUCAAAGAAAUCAGACACAGCGGUCCCAUACACAUGUUUACAAGUAACAGGAGAGGUAGGAACAGGCAAGUCCCCAGAGACAGAGACUCAGUAUGAGGGGCCCCUUUGGCUUUCUUCACGUCCCGACAACUUUCCAGAGCCUCUUGUUCUGCCUUUAGUAUGUCGACAAUCUUCAUGUUCUAGGUGAGAAAGCCACGACAUGCAAGAUCAAGUCCUUCGCUUAACACCUGCUUAGAAAGAUUCCUGGCCUCUAGGAUGAAGCCCUGUCCCGUUCUGAGAUCCAUCCACGAUCCUGCUCCACAGAGUUCCCCAGCUAGUGUCCACAGCUAGUGUCAGCGCAGUCUACAUAACCCAGUGUUAAUCUGCAUUGAUUAAAAAACUGAAUUUGUUGACAAUGUUGCAACCUUAUACCACUUCACUAGCUAUGGUCAGAACACUGGGUCCAGACAUUUUAUCUCCAUGACAACCGUUUGAUGAGGGGAGAAACCAGGGAGCCUGGGAUACUUUGUUACAGCAGGCUUUCUGCUGGCAUUUCCAGUCUUACUACCAGGGCCAUCAUUUAGUGGUAAUUUUUUUUUAAGAGUACACUUAACAAAAAAAGGUUAACUUUUUUUUUUGCAACGUGUCUUUUGAAAAGAACGAAAGAGAAUAAAUAUUAUACAUGUGCAA